CGGGACACGUGGUAUCCUGUCUGAAUAUGGGGGGACCAUCCUCCAAGGCUAAAUACUCCUGACUGACCGAUAGUGAACCAGUACCGUGAGGGAAAGGCGAAAAGAACCCCGGCGAGGGGAGUGAAAAAGAACCUGAAACCGUGUACGUACAAGCAGUGGGAGCCUCUUUAUGGGGUGACUGCGUACCUUUUGUAUAAUGGGUCAGCGACUUAUAUUCUGUAGCAAGGUUAACCGAAUAGGGGAGCCGAAGGGAAACCGAGUCUUAACUGGGCGUUAAGUUGCAGGGUAUAGACCCGAAACCCGGUGAUCUAGCCAUGGGCAGGUUGAAGGUUGGGUAACACUAACUGGAGGACCGAACCGACUAAUGUUGAAAAAUUAGCGGAUGACUUGUGGCUGGGGGUGAAAGGCCAAUCAAACCGGGAGAUAGCUGGUUCUCCCCGAAAGCUAUUUAGGUAGCGCCUCGUGAAUUCAUCUCCGGGGGUAGAGCACUGUUUCGGCAAGGGGGUCAUCCCGACUUACCAACCCGAUGCAAACUGCGAAUACCGGAGAAUGUUAUCACGGGAGACACACGGCGGGUGCUAACGUCCGUCGUGAAGAGGGAAACAACCCAGACCGCCAGCUAAGGUCCCAAAGUCAUGGUUAAGUGGGAAACGAUGUGGGAAGGCCCAGACAGCCAGGAUGUUGGCUUAGAAGCAGCCAUCAUUUAAAGAAAGCGUAAUAGCUCACUGGUCGAGUCGGCCUGCGCGGAAGAUGUAACGGGGCUAAACCAUGCACCGAAGCUGCGGCAGCGACGCUUAUGCGUUGUUGGGUAGGGGAGCGUUCUGUAAGCCUGCGAAGGUGUACUGUGAGGUAUGCUGGAGGUAUCAGAAGUGCGAAUGCUGACAUAAGUAACGAUAAAGCGGGUGAAAAGCCCGCUCGCCGGAAGACCAAGGGUUCCUGUCCAACGUUAAUCGGGGCAGGGUGAGUCGACCCCUAAGGCGAGGCCGAAAGGCGUAGUCGAUGGGAAACAGGUUAAUAUUCCUGUACUUGGUGUUACUGCGAAGGGGGGACGGAGAAGGCUAUGUUGGCCGGGCGACGGUUGUCCCGGUUUAAGCGUGUAGGCUGGUUUUCCAGGCAAAUCCGGAAAAUCAAGGCUGAGGCGUGAUGACGAGGCACUACGGUGCUGAAGCAACAAAUGCCCUGCUUCCAGGAAAAGCCUCUAAGCAUCAGGUAACAUCAAAUCGUACCCCAAACCGACACAGGUGGUCAGGUAGAGAAUACCAAGGCGCUUGAGAGAACUCGGGUGAAGGAACUAGGCAAAAUGGUGCCGUAACUUCGGGAGAAGGCACGCUGAUACGUAGGUGAAGUCCCUUGCGGAUGGAGCUGAAAUCAGUCGAAGAUACCAGCUGGCUGCAACUGUUUAUUAAAAACACAGCACUGUGCAAACACGAAAGUGGACGUAUACGGUGUGACGCCUGCCCGGUGCCGGAAGGUUAAUUGAUGGGGUUAGCGGUAACGCGAAGCUCUUGAUCGAAGCCCCGGUAAACGGCGGCCGUAACUAUAACGGUCCUAAGGUAGCGAAAUUCCUUGUCGGGUAAGUUCCGACCUGCACGAAUGGCGUAAUGAUGGCCAGGCUGUCUCCACCCGAGACUCAGUGAAAUUGAACUCGCUGUGAAGAUGCAGUGUACCCGCGGCAAGACGGAAAGACCCCGUGAACCUUUACUAUAGCUUGACACUGAACAUUGAGCCUUGAUGUGUAGGAUAGGUGGGAGGCUUUGAAGUGUGGACGCCAGUCUGCAUGGAGCCGACCUUGAAAUACCACCCUUUAAUGUUU
rnacentral:rRNA from 1 species